rnacentral:rRNA from 1 species
AGCAGCCGCGGUAAUUCCAGCUCCAAUAGCGUAUAUUAAAGUUGUUGCAGUUAAAAAGCUCGUAGUUGAAUUUCGGGGUCAAUAUAUCGGUCGUGCCAUCGGUACGUACUGGUAUCAUUGAUCUCUCCUUUCUGACGAACCAUGAUGUCAUUAAUUUGGUGUUAUGGGAAGUUAGGACUGUUACUUUGAAAAAAUUAGAGUGUUUAAAGCAGGCUUUAGCUUGAAUACAUUAGCAUGGAAUAAUGAAAUAGGACGUUCGAACCUAUUUUGUUGGUUUU